AACAAACGCUGGCGGCGUGCCUAACACAUGCAAGUCGAACGAGAAAGUCGGUUUCGGCCGAUGAGUAAAGUGGCGCACGGGUGAGUAACGCGUGGAUAAUCUACCCUUUAGUCCGGAAUAACUUGCCGAAAGGUGAACUAAUACCGGAUGACAUCCCGGGUUCUCCGGAAACCGGGAUCAAAGAAGGCCUCUGCUUGCAAGCUUUUGCUGAAGGAUGAGUCCGCGUACCAUUAGCUAGUUGGUGGGGUAAUGGCCUACCAAGGUUAUGAUGGUUAGCUGGUCUGAGAGGAUGAUCAGCCACACUGGAACUGAAACACGGUCCAGACUCCUACGGGAGGCAGCAGUGAGGAAUAUUGCGCAAUGGGGGCAACCCUGACGCAGCAACGCCGCGCGAGUGAGGAAGGUUUUCGGAUUGUAAAGCUCUGUCGAGCGGAAAGAAAUGCACGAUGGCUAAUAUCCAUCAUGCUUGACGGUACCGCUAGAGGAAGCACCGGCUAACUCCG
rnacentral:rRNA from 1 species